CAGUUCUUCAGUUAAGCAACAUCGCCUGUUUCAUAGUCGGGAAGUAUAAUGCCUGUCCAUGAAUCUGUCAUAUACAGGUUUCCACAUCGCCCAUGAGGUAUCUCGUGAACAUAUUUGCCACCUUUGUGAUGACGAUAGCUGUCAAACGGAAGGAAGCUGAAAAAUGAGUAAAAGCUUGGAGAAAGGACUUCCUGCUGAUGUAUGUAUGUGUAAGACUCUUAGUAUUAGAAAAGAAAUAUUUCCCAUUUCUUAACUACUUUCACAG